GAUGAAGAACGUAGCGAAAUGCGAUAAGUAAUGUGAAUUGCAGAAUUCAGUGAAUCAUCGAAUCUUUGAACGCAUAUUGCGCUCUCUGGUAUUCCGGAGAGCAUGCUUGUUUGAUUAUCAGUAAACACCUCAACUUCCAUAUCUUUUUUGAAAUGGGAGUUGGACUUGAGUGAUCCCAACGCUUUUCCUCACCGAAAAGUGGCGGGUUACUUGAAAUGCAGGUGCAGCUGGACUUUUCUCUGAGCUAUAAGCAUAUCUAUUUAGUCUGCCUAAAAAACAGAUUAUUACCUUUGCUGCAGCUAACAUAAAGGAGAUUAGUUCUUGUGCUGACUGAUGCAGGAUUCACAAAGACGGCUUCGGCCGACUUUGUAAACUCGAUCUCAAAUCAAGUAAGACUACCCGCUGAACUUAAGCAUAUCAAUAAGCGGAGGA
rnacentral:misc_RNA from 1 species